rnacentral:rRNA from 1 species
ACUCAAAGGAAUAGACGGGGGCCCGCACAAGCAGUGGAGUAUGUGGUUUAAUUCGAUGCAACGCGAAGAACCUUACCGGGGCUUGACAUCCCGCGAAUGACCGAGAGAUCGGUAGUUCCCUUUUGGGACGCGGAGACAGGUGGUGCAUGGUUGUCGUCAGCUCGUGUCGUGAGAUGUUGGGUUAAGUCCCGCAACGAGCGCAACCCCUAUCGUCGGUUGCCAUCAUUCAGUUGGGCACUUUGACGAGACUGCCGGUGAUAAAUCGGAGGAAGGUGGGGAUGACGUCAAAUCAUCAUGCCCUUUAUGUCCCGGGCUACACACGUACUACAAUGGCUGUUACAACGGGAGGCGAAGCCGCGAGGCGGAGCGAAUCCCAAAAAGGCAGCCCCAGUUCGGAUUGCAGGCUGCAACUCGCCUGCAUGAAGUCGGAAUUGCUAGUAAUGGCAGGUCAGCAUACUGCCGUGAAUACGUUCCCGGGCCUUGUACACACCGCCCGU